rnacentral:tRNA from 5 species
GGGCGUUUAGCUCAGUGGUAGAGCGCUUCGUUCACAUCGAAGAGGUCGUUGGUUCAAAUCCAACAGCGCCCA